AACGUAGGAGACAAACGUUAUCCGGAGUUACUGGGCGUAAAGGGCGUGUAGGCGGUUUGUUAAGUCUGGCGUGAAAGCUCUCGGCUAAACCGGGAGAGGUCGUUGGAUACUGGCAAGCUAGAGGAUGGUAGAGGCGUGUGGAAUUCCGGGUGUAGUGGUGAAAUGCGUAGAGAUCCGGAGGAACACCAGUGGCGAAGGCGACACGCUGGGCCAUACCUGACGCUAAAGCGCGACAGCAUGGGGAGCAAACGGG
rnacentral:rRNA from 1 species